UACGGAGGGAGCAAGCGUUGUUCGGAAUUACUGGGUGUAAAGGGUGCGUAGGCGGUUCUGUAAGUUAGAUGUGAAAUCUCUGGGCUUAACCCAGAAACUGCAUUUAAUACUGCAGGACUAGAGUAUGAUAGAGGGAGAUGGAAUUCUCGGUGUAGGGGUGAAAUCCGCAGAUAUCGAGAGGAACACCAGUUGCGAAGGCGAUCUCCUGGGUCAAUACUGACGCUGAGGCACGAAAGCUAGGGUAGCGAACGGG
rnacentral:rRNA from 1 species